GACGAACGCUGGCGGCGUGCCUAACACAUGCAAGUCGAACGGAGAUGAUGGGAUAGCUUGCUAUUUAAUCAUCUUAGUGGCGGACGGGUGAGUAACACGUGGGCAACCUGCCCCAAAGAGGGGGAUAACACCGAGAAAUCGGUGCUAAUACCGCAUAACAUUAGAGUUUCGCAUGGAGCUUUAAUCAAAGGAGAAAUCCGCUUUGGGGAUGGGCCCGCGUCUGAUUAGCUAGUUGGUGAGGUAACGGCUCACCAAAGGCGACGAUCAGUAGCCGAUCUGAGAGGAUGACCGGCCACACUGGAACUGAGACACGGUCCAGACUCCUACGGGAGGCAGCAGGCUAGAAAUUUGGGCAAUGGGGGAAACCCUGACCCAGUGACGCCGCGUGCAGGAAGGAGCCCUUCGGGUGUAAACUAGCUGUCGUGUAGGGAGAAGGGUACUAAGGUGAACAAUCUUAGUACUUUGACGGUACUACAAGGAGGAAGCCCAGGCUAACCUACGUGCCACGCACG
rnacentral:rRNA from 1 species